rnacentral:tRNA from 1 species
GCCCGGGUGGCGGAACUGGAAGACGCAGGGGGCUUAAACCCCCCUGACCCGCGAGGGUCGUGAGGGUUCGAAACCCUCCCCGGGCA